CACUCUGACGUCACAAUCCAGGUCCAAAACGAGACUUUUCUGUGCCAUAAGGCGGUCCUCGCGACAAUGUCGUCUUACUUCGACUCCAUGUUUGGUUCUGGGAUGAAAGAAAGCCUGACCGGUUCUGUCGUGAUUGAGGAGAUGGAGCCGAGGACUUUCAAGAAAGCCAUGAACUUUAUUUACACAGGGGAAAUCGAACUCGAAGUCGAAUCGGCCAUUGCUCUCUUACAGACAUCGGCGUUUCUACAAAUCAGAGCGCUGCAGAAAUUGUGUGAAACGUAUCUCAAACCACACAUUGAUACUGAGAACUGUAUCCAUUUGUGGAAGGUGUCCGUUUUAAACAACUGUCGAAUCAUAAAAGUCGCAGCUUUCAGACACAUUCUAGACAACUUCGGAAAAGUGUCCAAGUUGGACGAUUUCUAUCACCUGGACCCGAAGGAGAUAAUUGAAAUCAUAAGGCAAGAAAACUUGAAUGUCGCAUCAGAGGAAGAUUUGUGUAACAUAAUAUUUGAUUGGUUGGACCAAAACAAAAAACAUGCAGAUCAUAUGUGUGAAUUUUUACAAGAAGUAAGACUUGCGUUCGUUAGGACAGAAUACCUCGUCAAAUUGGAAAGAAAGCCAGAAAUCGCCAAAGAUCAUAAUUGUCUAGAUCUUAUUAACAUUGUAAAAGACUAUCACCUUCUCCCAGCCCGGCAGCACGAAAUGGCAACAAAGGUUGCACGGGUACGCGCAACAUCUAGUUUAGAAAACGUGCUGGUGGUUCUGGGAGGUUGCGAGGCAACAAGGCCACCUUACACGCGCUCCACAUCCACGUACUGUUACAGUUUCAGACAACAGACUUGGUUCAAACUGGCUUCUCUUCCUUAUGAUCCGGGCAUCGAGUUUGCCGCCGUGACUUACUGCAAUGACAUCUACAUCACCGGCGGAGGCAUGAAGCAAAACAGUUUUAUAUGGUAUAACGUCAAUCGGAACGUCUGGUCAGAGUUACCGUCCUUGUUAAAUGGCCGACGGAGGCACGCAUGCGUAGCUGUCACCGACGGCAUUUACGUUCUGGGGGGUUACGAUAGUGACCGGGGGGUCGGGAAUCAGAUGUUGAAAAGCGUGGAGAAAUACGUCAUCUCCCAUCAAAGCUGGGAGCCCGCGGGAGAACUCGUUACGCCUGUGAGCUGUUUUGCCGCGAUUUACCGAAAUGAAAACAUUUACACUUUCGGCGGCGAGGAGAAUAGCCGAAUGGACACGUCUGUUAUACAGUGUUAUAACGUCAACACUAAGACAUGUGUGAUUCUGACAGUCAAGAUACCAAUGGCGUGUAAACUGACUCGAUCUUGUGUGUUCAACGAUCGAAUGUUUCUCGUUCUGUACGACGGUCGAGUGAUCGAAUAUUUCGAAGAAAGCGAGGAUUCGAAGGCGGCGUGCAAGUUCGUUGCGCGGUUCGAGAAUUUUCAGAGGACGCAUUUCGGCGUCGUGGAACAAAACAAGGGAGUGGUUAUUAUUGGCGGGGUGAUAGAGAACACCAAGCCCUGUAACGACUUCCUGCAGUGUGACACAGAUACCAUGGAGUGCCGUACCAUGGGGGACGUGCUUUUCACCCCGCGGUUAGUGGACGGCUGUGUGAAAAUUAAUAUACCCAAAGACCAUCUAGUUCCCCUGAAAGCGGACUCGGCCUGCUAAUUGCAGAUUUUAUUUUUGUGUGCAUGGUGGGGAAUAAGAUUGCAAUAUUGCAUUUCCUCACUUCCGGAUCCGGUGACCGUGAUUGUGGUUUUUCUAAUCAGACUCAACACGUGUUGCCUAAGUGGGAUCUCUCAACAUUAUUCACCGGCGUCCGUUAUAAAGGGAUUCAAUCUUGAGAACGAUUUUAUAAUUAAGAGUGGUGGUAAGGACAAUGUACUUGUGACGGUGUGGGAUAUAUUAUUAAUAUCAAACCGAGACAUUAAUUGAAGUGCAUAGCUGUGUUAUGUCUGUUCGAAGUCUUUAUAAUAAAGAUACCUUGUUGCAUGC
rnacentral:misc_RNA from 1 species